rfam:Microgenomates (Daviesbacteria) bacterium GW2011_GWB1_41_5 TT67_C0020, whole genome shotgun sequence.
GGAUCCGUAGCUCAGAGGUAGAGCGAUCCGUUCACAUCGGAUAGGUCGAAGGUUCAAGUCCUUCCGGGUCCA